rnacentral:rRNA from 1 species
GAGUUUGAUCGUGGCUCAGGAUGAACGCUAGCGGCAGGCAUAAUACAUGCAAGACGAACGGUAACUUGAGUAGCAAUACUUGAGCUAGAGUGUCGUGCGGGUGCGUAACACGUAUGCAACCUACCUUUUACAGGAGUAUAGCUCGGUGAAAACCGAAUUAACCCUCCAUAAUAUGUUCGAGUGGCAUCACUUAAACAUUAAAACUGCGGUGGUAAAAGAUGGGCAUGCGUUUGAUUAGUUAGUUGGCAGUGUAACGGACUACCAAGACGAUGAUCAAUAGGGGACCUGAGAGGGUGAUCCCCCACACUGGCACUGAGAUACGGGCCAGACUCCUACGGGAGCAGCAGUAGGGAAUAUUGGACAAUGGGUGAGAGCCUGAUCCAGCCAUGCCGCGUGCAGG